rnacentral:lncRNA from 1 species
CAAGAAACAGACUAAGUUUCUAGAAGUGGUAACACAUUAUAUCUUGGUUGAACCAAUUACUGCUAAAGAGGAGAGGCAAGCAUGGAGAGGCCCAUAAUUGGGGAAGAAGGUCAGUCAUUGGAAUCAACCCUGUUUCAUGACUUUUUCCACGUCUCUUUCACCAUUACUUUUAUAAGGUUGGCUGGAAAUGAGACAGAAGAGCUUUUUCACUGGGAUAGUCUGUGCAAUACAAUACCAUGACCACAGACUACCUAAAGCAUCACCCACACUUUGAAAAACAGAGACUUAAUGGGAGAACGUGAACUCAGAAUGCAGACUGCUACUUUACAGCUCUUUGACUUUGAGCAAGAGACUCUUUUUGGUCUUCAGUCCCCUUUCUUACAGUGGGGAAAAUAAGAACUUUAUAACUGUUUGAGUGCCUGUGUCAGAAAAGAGUAAAUGAUAUAAAUUUAUGUAAGCACCAAAUCCAGUGGUUGGAACAUACCCUCUUUCCCUGAAAAUAUGACCUAGCUAGAAAAUAACCAGCCUUGAAAACAGGAGAUCAAAAAUGCCAGCCCCCCCCCCCCAAAAAAAAGAAAAGAAAAAGGGCUGGGGAUUUAGCUCAGUGGUGCCACGCCUGCCUGGCAAGCACAAGGUCCCGAGUUAGAUCCCCACUACUGGGGGAAAAAAAAAUGCCAGGCCCAAUCAGCCUUAUCCUUGCCUUACCUGCCCGCUCCGGUCCCACCCCAAGAAAUAGGAUGCAGCUCUGAGAAAGGAAGAAAAUUAGAUUGCCAGCUAUCCUAAUGAGUCCCAAAGGCACCUCAAACUCAACAUGCUUCAAACCCAAAAUAUCAAUGACCUCCAAACCUGAUCCUCAGCCACCUUCCCUAUUGCAAUGAACAGCAUCAUCAUCUAUCCCGUGAAGCAAGCCAGAAACCUCACAGACAUCUUGAAACCUUCUCUGCCCCUGAACUUCAUGUGCAUGGAGUCUGCUCAAAUUUUACCUUUGAAGAAUCUCACCGUCAUCACCCUGGUCAUCAUCAUAAGUGUACCAGUGCACAGGUUUGGAAAUGGGUUCUGGAGUCAAGACUACUUGGUUUACAAUAUUAAUACCGUAUUUUUUCUUUUUUCUUUAUAGUGCUGGGGAUUGAAGCCAAGUCUCACACAUGCCAGGCAAUGCUCUACCUCUGAUCCACACCCUUGACUCCUAAAUCUAAAAAUUUAUUAACUGUAUAACCUUGGGCAAGGUACAUAACCAUUCUGUGCCUUAGUUUUCUCCUUUGUACUGUGUAGUAGCAUUGAGUACCUAUCCACAUCCUGCCUUUGGGAUAGUUUAAAGGUAGAAAGUGCUUAAAAGUACCUUGUAUAUAAUAAACGCUCAAUAGAGGUUAGUUGCUCUUUUUGUUAUUGUCACUUCAGUAUAGAAAUGUUCAAACAUAUGGCUCCAAUCGAAAGAUUUUUUUCAUUCCCUGUGUGUUGAUAGGUAAAUCUAAAGACUUAAUCAGAU